rnacentral:rRNA from 1 species
AGAGUUUGAUCCUGGCUCAGGAUGAACGCUAGCUACAGGCUUAACACAUGCAAGUCGAGGGGCAGCAUGUUGGUUGCUUGCAACCAACGAUGGCGACCGGCGCACGGGUGAGUAACGCGUAUCCAACCUACCCUUGUCCAUCGGAUAACCCGUCGAAAGGCGGCCUAACACGAUAUGCGGUUCACAGCAGGCAUCUAACGUGAACGAAAUGUAAAGGAGAAGGAUGGGGAGUGCGUCUGAUUAGCUUGUUGGCGGGGUAACGGGCCCACCAAGGCUACGAUCAGUAGGGGUUCUGAGAGGAAGGUCCCCCACCAUCGGAACUGAGACACGGUCCAAACUCCUACGGAGGCA